AGAAGCUUGCUUCUCUUGAGAGCGGCGGACGGGUGAGUAAUGCCUAGGAAUCUGCCUGGUAGUGGGGGAUAACGUUCGGAAACGGACGCUAAUACCGCAUACGUCCUACGGGAGAAAGCAGGGGACCUUCGGGCCUUGCGCUAUCAGAUGAGCCUAGGUCGGAUUAGCUAGUUGGUGAGGUAAUGGCUCACCAAGGCGACGAUCCGUAACUGGUCUGAGAGGAUGAUCAGUCACACUGGAACUGAGACACGGUCCAGACUCCUACGGGAGGCAGCAGUGGGGAAUAUUGGACAAUGGGCGAAAGCCUGAUCCAGCCAUGCCGCGUGUGUGAAGAAGGUCUUCGGAUUGUAAAGCACUUUAAGUUGGGAGGAAGGGCAGUUACCUAAUACGUGAUUGUUUUGACGUUACCGACAGAAUAAGCACCGGCUAACUCUGUGCCAGCAGCCGCGGUAAUACAGAGGGUGCAAGCGUUAAUCGGAAUUACUGGGCGUAAAGCGCGCGUAGGUGGUUUGUUAAGUUGGAUGUGAAAUCCCCGGGCUCAACCUGGGAACUGCAUUCAAAACUGACUGACUAGAGUGUGGUAGAGGGUGGUGGAAUUUCCUGUGUAGCGGUGAAAUGCGUAGAUAUAGGAAGGAACACCAGUGGCGAAGGCGACCACCUGGACCAACACUGACACUGAGGUGCGAAAGCGUGGGGAGCAAACAGGAUUAGAUACCCUGGUAGUCCACGCCGUAAACGAUGUCAACUAGCCGUUGGGAGCCUUGAGCUCUUAGUGGCGCAGCUAACGCAUUAAGUUGACC
rnacentral:rRNA from 1 species